rnacentral:rRNA from 1 species
UACGUAGGGGGCAAGCGUUGUCCGGAAUCAUUGGGCGUAAAGAGCGUGUAGGCGGCCCGAUAAGUCCGCUGUGAAAGUCCAGGGCUCAACCCUGGAAUGCCGGUGGAUACUGUCGGGCUCGAAUCCGGAAGAGGUGAGUGGAAUUCCUGGUGUAGCGGUGAAAUGCGCAGAUAUCAGGAGGAACACCAAUGGCGAAGGCGGGUCUCUGGGCCGGAACUGACGCUGAGACGCGAAAGCGUGGGGAGCGAACAGG